rnacentral:rRNA from 1 species
CGCGCAGGUGGUUUCUUAAGUCUGAUGUGAAAGCCCACGGCUCAACCGUGGAGGGUCAUUGGAAACUGGGAGACUUGAGUGCAGAAGAGGAUAGUGGAAUUCCAAGUGUAGCGGUGAAAUGCGUAGAGAUUUGGAGGAACACCAGUGGCGAAGGCGACUGUCUGGUCUGAAACUGACACUGAGGCACGAAAGCGUGGGAGCAAACA